GGAAUUGCUGAGUCACAGAGUAAUCCUGUUAACUUUUGAGAAACCACCAAAUUGUUAUCCCUUUUACCUUCCCACCAGCAGAUCUGAUUGGCACUUGUGUUUGAGGCUUCUUCUUGGAACCUAGUGCAUGUGAAAUGGUGUCACAUUGUGGUUUUGCUUUCUAUUUCCUUACUGAUUCACGAUUUUGAACAGCUUUUCAUGUCUUUGUUGGCCGUUUUCAUAUAGUUUCUGGAGAGAUAUCUUUCAGGUCCUUUGCUCACUUUUAAAUUGGGUUGUUUGUCAUUGAUGUUGAACUAUGAGAGUUCCUUAUAUUUUUUGGAUAAGAAAACAUCAGAUAUGUGAUUUGCAAACAUUUUCUCCUGUUCUGUAUGGUGUCUUUUCACAUUUGAGAUAAUGUUCUUUGCAGAGUACAUUCCCUUUUCUGGGUGUGUAGAAGAAUAUAUUUUUUGGAGUGCCUGUGAACUUGUUAUAAAAGCACUCCCCACUCAGGCUUUUGCUGUUAUUUUUGUGUCUGCAUUUUACUUUCCUCUCCUAAAGUGUUUGCAUGAUUGUUUAUUCGCAUCUUUCCACCUUAGGGGUCAAGCAAAGCAUUUUGCUUCUUUUUCAGUUACAACAAUUCAGACAUAAAGAAAAAAGUAGUCAAUAACACAGUGCUUUUAAUGUAUACGCUACCAUUGAGAUAUGAAUGACAUGAAGCAUGAUAUUUAGAAUUACAGUGUUAUUUGACCAUUUUAAGCUCUACCUUCUCACCUAAAUUUGUUAAGGCAUUUUUUCUGUGACCAUGGGCAAAGGGAGUGCGAGUGACCCACCAAAAACCAUUUUGAAAAGGAAAUGGUGUUGUUUUUUUCCCCUUAUUCAUUUAUUGUAGACAUUUCAUAGCUAACCAAACACUAAAGCUAAUUUGUUAAUUCUCAUAUUUUCAGAAACUUAAGUUUAUAGAACUCUUCAUGGAGCUUACACAAAAAUUUUGGAGCUUAUGCACGCAAAGAAAAGACUUUUAGGCACCUUCUUCAGAGUUGCCUUUUAUGGCCCAUCUUUUUUGAAGAAGAGGACUGAAACGAGUACAUCUAUAAAGAGCCAAAGCUCAUCAGCCUCUCAGAGAUUUCCCUGAGACUUGUUAAACUUUAUGGUGAAAAAUUUGGUACAGAGAAUGUCAAAAUAAUUCAGGAUUCAGACAAGGAAGUUCAUCCAAGCAUGCAGCAUUGCACUGGAACUAAAUGAAUGGUUAAUGAAAGAGGAUCAGAUUGAAUACCAUGAAGAGCUCACGUCAAAUUUCGAAGACAUGGUGAAAGAAUUGUCUGACGUUAUUUAUGAACAGGCAAGUAUUAGAGUGAAUGAAAA